AACGCACAUUGCGCCCCUCGGUAUUCCAUGGGGCAUGCCUGUUCGAGCGUCAUUUACACCCUCAAGCUCUGCUUGGUGUUGGGCGUCUGUCCCGCUUUAUGCGUGGACUCGCCCCAAAGUCAUUGGCAGCGGUCGUGCCAGCUUCUCGCGCAGCACAUUUGCGUUUCUUGAAGUUUGGUGGAUCAGCAUCCAGUAAGCUCUUUUAUGACUUGACCUCGGAUCAGGUAGGGAUACCCGCUGAACUUAA
rnacentral:misc_RNA from 1 species